CUCUGCCCCUGGCAGUCGGCUGGGUCCCAAGAGGAGGAAAGGCUGGGAGCAGAAGGCAGCAAAGGGGCCCACCCCCUGAUGCCCACAGCCACCAUGGCCACACCAGGCUUUGAGGUUCUCACUCCUGUGGGCGCCCAUUCCAGCAGUGGAGUGAAAGGACUCAGGGUGGGAUGCGCCAACAGCCUUCGCUCCUCACCCUCCCGGGACUAAACAACCGGAAACCUCCAGCAGCCUGGACUGGGGAGACUCCUCUGUGCUCAUGCACCAGCCCAAGGAGUGCUCCAGGGGAGGGAGUAUUUUAGGUGAUGUGCUGCUGUAGGUGAGAAGUGCUCCAGAUCCUUCCAAGGCAGGGAGUCUUCUGAGGCCCCGCUGAGGGCGGAACUCGCUCUCUGCAUGAGGUCCUGGCACCUCCUGGAAGCAAGAGGUAAAACCCUGUCCUCCAGGUCACGGUCACGCACCCUCCACACCCGGGCCCCCACGGGGUGGAGGAUGAACUGGAAGGCCAGCCCGCUGGACUUGCACACCAGGGGCGACCGUGUGGGUGACAACACUCAGUCACCCCAGAGGUCUGCACGCGUCCUAUUCUGACUGCCCGUGCCAAGCUCCCUGCUUCGACCAGAAUUAGCACAAAGGCAAGACACUGAUUCUUGAGCCCCUGCCACACGGGAAAGCGGCCGUCACCCCAGCCUCAGCAACCGGAUCCAGGGCCCUGCACACAGCGAAAGCAGCGCUCCAGCUCGCAAACAGCUAGGCUCCCCCCCUGCAGCUGCCCCCACCUCACAGCAGCCCCACUGGGUCCUGCUUCCCACCAAACGCUGCGAACACCAGCUGUUUUCAUUUCCCUCUGCCUCUCCAGGGCCUUCCCUCUUGGCCUUAAGGCUCCUCCCCUAAUAUGAAGACCCCUCUCUUCUCUCUCCACACCUGAUCCCUCCCCAGUCUCUGCUCCCAGGAGACCCCGGGAUGGGGUCCGGGAUGGUCACCAGUAGCCUCCAUUCUCUGCUCUGAGCCUGCUGGGAGGCCGGAACAGAGCCCUGCACACCCUCCCUCUGCAUCCCACCCGGGCCCCUCUCCCAGCCUGGUCCCUACACAGCGGCCAUUACCAACACCCGCCUCCAGCGGGUUCCAGAGCGGGCUCGUCAGGCUCAAGUCCUCAAAACCUAAAAACCCGUGCACACCCCUUCCGGGGUAACUUCGCCCACCCUGCCAUCCUUGGGGUCGCCUGUCAAGCGUCCUGUCCUCAGGAGCGACGCCUCCAGCCCCCUCCCGCGGUUACUGUCACGUGGCCCUCUUGAAAUUUCAUCGCGCUUGUCACUCCC